rnacentral:lncRNA from 1 species
GUCGCUUCUUGGACCUGUUUUUUGCUUCUUUUUGUUGAUUGACCGUGAAGUCUAAAGUUCCAAAUGACACGUCUACUGUCUACUUCUCUAGAUUCAGUCUACUUCUCUAGAUCCAGGAUCUGCAUAUAUAACGUGAUUCUCAUCUACUGCAUUUGCUUGGCUGCUCAACUAGAGAACCGCAAGUUCAUCUAUGUUUAGAAAGUACUUAAAUUUCAGUCGAGUAAUCAUCAAAUCAUUUGCUUAUCCUGUUGGUACUACCUGUUCUAACGUACUAAAUUUUUAGCUUGCUACUACCUCUUCUUCUAUUACUUGUACACUUGGUAAUACAUGUUCUACUUCUGUGCUAUUUUUUUAGUGAAGACAGAUAAUAUGCGUGCUUGUAAGUCUCCAACUGUGCUAUCUUGUCUUGGAUCGAUCUCCCUGUUCUGGUGGAUGCCAAGCCUUCAGCUGCAGGGUAAACUAUAUCGUUACAUGUACUGAAGCCCUGCCAUGACUCCGACCAUGUCUCCGGCAAGGUGGAGUCUACAAUACCAGAGCACCACCCUACGUGACCUCUGCAGUGACGAAAGGCGCAAACCAAAGGCCUCCUGGAGGGUGGAGGGCUCGCUGGAGAUUUGUUGGUACGCUAGAUACA